AACGAACGCUGGCGGCGCGCCUAAUACAUGCAAGUCGAGCGAGAAGACGUAGCAAUACGUUUGUAAAGCGGCGAACGGGUGAGGAAUACAUGGGCAACCUACCCUCGAGUGGGGAAUAACUAGCCGAAAGGUUAGCUAAUACCGCGUACGCUCCUUGGACUUCGGUUCAGGGAGGAAAGCGAUACCGUGGGUAUCGCGCUCUUGGAUGGGCUCAUGUCCUAUCAGCUUGUUGGUGAGGUAACGGCUCACCAAGGCUUCGACGGGUAGCUGGUCUGAGAGGACGAUCAGCCACACUGGCACUGCGACACGGGCCAGACUCCUACGGGAGGCAGCAGUAAGGAAUAUUGCGCAAUGGGCGAAAGCCUGACGCAGCGACGCCGCGUGGGGGA
rnacentral:rRNA from 1 species